rnacentral:rRNA from 1 species
GGAAUAUUGGACAAUGGGCGCAAGCCUGAUCCAGCCAUGCCGCGUGCAGGAUGACGGUCCUAUGGAUUGUAAACUGCUUUUGCACAGGAAGAAACAACUCUACGUGUAGAGUCUUGACGGUACUGUGAGAAUAAGGAUCGGCUAACUCCGUGCCAGCAGCCGCGGUAAUACGGAGGAUCCAAGCGUUAUCCGGAAUCAUUGGGUUUAAAGGGUCCGUAGGCGGUCUUAUAAGUCAGUGGUGAAAUCUCCCCGCUCAACGGGGAAACGGCCAUUGAUACUGUAGGACUUGAAUUAUUAGGAAGUAACUAGAAUAUGUAGUGUAGCGGUGAAAUGCUUAGAGAUUACAUGGAAUACCAAUUGCGAAGGCAGGUUACUACUAAUGGAUUGACGCUGAUGGACGAAAGCGUGGGUAGCGAACAGGAUUAGAUACCCGGG